AGCAAGGUUAACCGAAUAGGGGAGCCGGAGGGAAACCGAGUCUUAACCGGGCGUUAAGUUGCAGGGUAUAGACCCGAAACCCGGUGAUCUAGCCAUGGGCAGGUUGAAGGUUGGGUAACACUAACUGGAGGACCGAACCGACUAAUGUUGAAAAAUUAGCGGAUGACCUGUGGCUGGGGGUGAAAGGCCAAUCAAACCGGGAGAUAGCUGGUUCUCCCCGAAAGCUAUUUAGGUAGCGCCUCGUGAAUUCAUCUCCGGGGGUAGAGCACUGUUUCGGCUAGGGGGCCAUCCCGGCUUACCAACCCGAUGCAAACUGCGAAUACCGGAGAAUGUUAUCACGGGAGACACACGGCGGGUGCUAACGUCCGUCGUGAAGAGGGAAACAACCCAGACCGCCAGCUAAGGUCCCAAAGUCAUGGUUAAGUGGGAAACGAUGUGGGAAGGCCCAGACAGCCAGGAUGUUGGCUUAGAAGCAGCCAUCAUUUAAAGAAAGCGUAAUAGCUCACUGGUCGAGUCGGCCUGCGCGGAAGAUGUAACGGGGCUAAACCAUGCACCGAAGCUGCGGCAGCGACACUGUGUGUUGUUGGGUA
rnacentral:rRNA from 1 species